UCCAGCCCGGGGAUGCGACUUGCACAGGCACCAGAAGAUGUAGAUCAGAAAUUAUCCCCCCAAAAGAUGUAGAACAAGGCUUGAACACCACCAUAAUCUGUCAAACGGUACAAAAGGCUGAGAAAAGGGGCUGCUCAGCCACGGAAGCCUCAGAGCCCCUUCUGCAGGGGCUAACAGAGCUGGAGAGGUGCUUUUGGCAAAGUAUGGAAUGAUAUGACGAAGAAGGACAGCUCUCGGUGGAGAGAGGGUAUAUCUAGAUUAGAUACAGGAAGGAAACUCUUCCCUGUGCGGGCGAUGAGAGCCUGGCACAGGUUGCGCAGAGAAGCCGCGGCCGCCCCGUCCCCGGCGCGCUCGGUGCCGGGCUGGACAGAGCUCCGCACACCCUGGUCCAGCGGAACGUGUCCCUGCCCGUGACACGAGAGCUGUAACAAGACACCCCUCACAACCCAACCCUCCCGCGCUCCCGUCCCGGCCCGGCCCGGCCGCGGCCCCGCGGGCGCUCCCCGGGGUGGCCCCUCACGGCCGGGGCCGGGCGCGCUCCGCUUUACGGCUGCUGAAAACUCCCGGGGCGGGCCGGGCCGCGCGGCGCCGGGCACGGCGGGGGCAGCGCAGGUAACGCGGGGCACAGCGCAGGUCUCUUGUCUGAACUUUGGAAACAACUUUGGUUCUUGGAUCCCUUCUGUUGACCCGGGAGAAUUCAUGUAGAGGCCAGAUUGAAAAUAUGCCUUCGUGACAAAGUCUCUACAGAGCUGAUCCCAUCUUGGCUUUGAGGUA